CACUGCUGCAGUGGAAAUGUCAGUGUGUUCUUGUGAUUUAGCUCAUUCCGCCCCUAAAAACUCACAUUCCUUGGAAUGGAGGAGUUCUAGGUGCCAGAAUUUCCACCUCUUUCCAUCUUCAAUCCAUUCGGUAGAUUUCUAUUUCUCUGGGAAACUUUCCCGUUCAGAUUUUUAGUUAUCUGACAAACUUCUGAGGAAGUAACCCCUUAAUUUCCCACUCUACUUUGUUGCAGAAACAUGUGGAAUUCAUUCAAAAUACCUGAGACCUGUCUAUCCAACCAAAACCUUCCCUAAUCACUAUACCAUUGUCACGGGCUUAUAUCCGGAAUCACAUGGCAUCAUUGACAAUAAUAUGUAUGACGUAAACCUCAACAAGAGCUUUUCAAUUUUUUCAAAGGGGACAUUUGAUCCAGCUUGGUGGCAUGGACAACCAGUCUGGCUGACAGCAAUGAAUCAAGGCUUAAAAGCUGGCACCUACUUUUGGCCAGGAUCAGACGUGGCUAUAAAUGGCUCCUUUCCUUCCUUAUAUAUGGUUUACAACAGAAGUGUCCCAUAUGAAGAGAGAAUCUCUACAUUGCUAACCUGGCUGGACCUGCCCAAAGCUGAAAGACCCAAUUUUUAUACCCUGUAUGUGGAACAGCCUGAUUCUGCAGGUCAUGAAAAAGGACCAGUCAGUGCCGCAGUAA